rnacentral:lncRNA from 1 species
CACAAGAUGGCAGAGCGGAUUGAAGAGCGGAUCCUGAACUCCAACCCUGUCAUGGAAGCUUUUGGGAACGCAUGCACACUGAGGAAUAACAACAGCAGUCGCUUUGGGAAGUUCAUCCAGCUCCAGCUGAACAGGUAAUAGUUACUGCCAUUCAGCAAAUGGGACAGCAGAGAUGGGGACCGGAAGCAACUGGGUAGCCACCCACCCGGGUCACCAUGGGCAACAAUCCUCAGAGCUUACCUGCUGUAUCUGUGGGUUUCUCGAACUCAGUGGACUCUGGAGGUGUCCUGUUUUUAACCUAGGAAAUCAACUGUGACCUUGAGCUAUAGUGUUCUUAUGGGCUGUGCACUCAUGAUGGCUUCUUGUGCUCAGAAAUUUCUUGUUAAAUGCCUCUUUGGAAUAAAACCUCGAGCCAGAAGCU